UACGGAGGGUGCGAGCGUUGUCCGGAAUCACUGGGCGUAAAGGGCGCGUAGGCGGCAUGCCAAGCGUGUGGUGAAAGCCCGGGGCUCAACCCCGGGUCGGCCGUGCGGACUGGCGAUGCUCGAGCACUGUAGGGGCGGGUGGAAUUCCGGGUGUAGCGGUGGAAUGCGUAGAGAUCCGGAAGAACACCGGUGGCGAAGGCGGCCCGCUGGGCAGGAAGGCGACGCAAGUCGCCGGCUGACGCUGAGGCGCGACAGCGUGGGGAGCAAACAGGAUU
rnacentral:rRNA from 1 species